rnacentral:rRNA from 1 species
GAGUUUGAUCCUGGCUCAGGAUGAACGCUGGCGGCGUGCUUAACACAUGCAAGUCGAGCGGAGCACAUCAUUGGAAUCCUUCGGGAGGAAGAGGGUGUGGCUUAGCGGCGGACGGGUGAGUAACGCGUGGACAACCUGCCCUAUGCAGGGGGAUAACAUCCGGAAACGGGUGCUAAUACCGCAUAAGCGCACAGUACCGCAUGGUACAGUGUGAAAAGCUGAGGCGGCAUAGGAUGGGUCCGCGUUGGAUUAGGCAGUUGGCGGGGUAACGGCCCACCAAACCGACGAUCCAUAGCCGGCCUGAGAGGGUGGACGGCCACAUUGGGACUGAGACACGGCCCAGACUCCUACGGGAGGCAGCAGUGGGGAAUAUUGCACAAUGGGGGGAACCCUGAUGCAGCGACGCCGCGUGGGUGAGGAAGUACUUCGGUAUGUAAAGCCCUAUCAGCAGGGAAGAAAAUGACGGUACCUGACUAAGAAGCCCC